rnacentral:ncRNA from 1 species
GACAGACUCAAAAAUUCCAGAUGCCCAGGCCGGUUAUGAAAAAGGAAUAAGCGCCGUGCUGGCAGGAUUAUCUGGUGGUAACAGAAU